UUUUCAUAGCUAACAUUUUAUAUAUCCUGAAUACACACUUUAAUACACAAAUCUUCAUUUGAUUCAUAUUUCAUCUCAAACAUGCUCUUCACUCACAUAAGUACACUAACCUUUCCUUAUUUCACUCUGUUUAGAUGAUCAUAGUUUAAAUGUGUAAUAAUGAAUAUUUAUUUAUGUGUGUGUGUGUGUGUGUGUGUGUGUGUGUGUGUGUGUGUGUGUGUGUGUGUAUAGUUUAAUAUUGGAAGGCUGGGUCAAAAGGCUGAAACAGGCAAAUCUUCACAUUAAAGACAUUUAAAAAGUGCCCAAAAUAAAUCAUGAAGGCCGUUUUAUAUUCAGUGUGAAUGAGACCCUCAUAUAACAACAAGAAAAAGUUUCAAUCUGGGAAUAAAACUGACCAAAAAUGUGUAUUAUACAGUAAUAUGAGGAGCGGUGGUGUAGUGGGCUAAAGCACAUAACUGGUACUCAGAAGGUUGCUGGUUCGAUCCCCACAGUCACCACCAUUGUGUCCUUGAGCAAGACACUUAACUCCAGGUUGCUCCGGGGGGAUUGUCCCUGUAAUAAGUGCUCUGUAUAAUACAUUGGUACUCAGAAGGUUGCUGGUUUGAUCCCCACAGUCACCACCAUUGUGUCCUUGAGUAAGACACUUAACUCCAGGUUGCUCCGGGGGGAUUGUCCCUGUAAUAAGUGCUCUGUAUAAUACAUUGGUACUCAGAAGGUUGCUGGUUCGAUCCCCACAGUCACCACCAUUGUGUCCUUGAGCAAGGCACUUAACUCCAGGUUGCUCCGGGGGGGAUUCUCCCUGUAAUAAGUGCUCUGUAUAAUACAUUGGUACUCAGAAGGUUGCUGGUUUGAUCCCCACAGUCACCACCAUUGUGUCCUUGAGCAAGGCACUUAACUCCAGGUUGCUCCGGGGGGAUUGUCCCUGUAAUAAGUGCACUGUAUAAUACAUUGGUACUCAGAAGGUUGCUGGUUUGAUCCCCACAGUCACCACCAUUGUGUCCUUGAGUAAGACACUUAACUCCAGGUUGCUCCGGGGGGAUUGUCCCUGUAAUAAGUGCACUGUAUAAUACAUUGGUACUCAGAAGGUUGCUGGUUUGAUCCCCACAGUCACCACCAUUGUGUCCUUGAGUAAGACACUUAACUCCAGGUUGCUCCGGGGGGAUUGUCCCUGUAAUAAGUGCUCUGUAUAAUACAUUGGUACUCAGAAGGUUGCUGGUUUGAUCCCCACAGUCACCACCAUUGUGUCCUUGAGCAAGGCACUUAACUCCAGGUUGCUCCGGGGGGAUUGUCCCUGUAAUAAGUGCACUGUAUAAUACAUUGGUACUCAGAAGGUUGCUGGUUUGAUCCCCACAGUCACCACCAUUGUGUCCUUGAGCAAGACACUUAACUCCAGGUUGCUCCGGGGGGAUUGUCCCUGUAAUAAGUGCACUGUAUAAUACAUUGGUACUCAGAAGGUUGCUGGUUUGAUCCCCACAGUCACCACCAUUGUGUCCUUGAGCAAGACACUUAACUCCAGGUUGCUCCGGGGGGAUUGUCCCUGUAAUAAGUGCACUGUAUAAUACAUUGGUAAUCAGAAGGUUGCUGGUUUGAUCCCCACAGUCACCACCAUUGUGUCCUUGAGCAAGGCACUUAACUCCAGGUUGCUCCGGGGGGAUUGUCCCUGUAAUAAGUGCUCUGUAUAAUACAUUGGUACUCAGAAGGUUGCUGGUUUGAUCCCCACAGUCACCACCAUUGUGUCCUUGAGUAAGACACUUAACUCCAGGUUGCUCCGGGGGGAUUGUCCCUGUAAUAAGUGCUCUGUAUAAUACAUUGGUACUCAGAAGGUUGCUGGUUUGAUCCCCACAGUCACCACCAUUGUGUCCUUGAGCAAGGCACUUAACUCCAGGUUGCUCCGGGGGGAUUGUCCCUGUAAUAAGUGCACUGUAUAAUACAUUGGUACUCAGAAGGUUGCUGGUUUGAUCCCCACAGUCACCACCAUUGUGUCCUUGAGUAAGACACUUAACUCCAGGUUGCUCCGGGGGGAUUGUCCCUGUAAUAAGUGCUCUGUAUAAUACAUUGGUACUCAGAAGGUUGCUGGUUUGAUCCCCACAGUCACCACCAUUGUGUCCUUGAGCAAGGCCCUUAACUCCAGGUUGCUCCGGGGGGAUUGUCCCUGUAAUAAGUGCACUGUAAGUCGAUUUGGUUAAAAGCGUCUGCCAAAUGCAUAAAUGUCAAUGUUAUAUUUAUAUACAGACUUCAAGCAAGAUGAGGGUGCGCGGGCAUUAUCUGUGUAUUUGGGAUGCAGCUUGAACA